GUUUCCAUGGGAACAGUGAGGGGAGAUGAAGGCAGAGAACAGAGAUCUGCAGCCAAGAAUACCACUUGGGUCGCUCGAGGAGGAAGAGUGUCCCAGGGGG
rnacentral:sRNA from 2 species